AUGGAUCUGACCACAGAGGCAGAACCGUCCCUGUCUUCUAAGAGUUUGGAGUCCAAAAUCCACAGCUUUCUACAGGGCAACCCGGCUUUCAGUGCAUUCGGCAUAGGCCUUUCUGCGAUUCCAGCGGCGGGGGCAGAUAACCUCAGCCCAUUGACCGGAGCGGACACCCGGGGCGGGACUCCGGUGCGGGAUGAGGGCGGAGGCACCCCGACUCAAGAUGAGAUAAUGGACAAGCAUGCGCCGGGCCCGUUCCCUUCCAACACUAAUCAGCCAUCGGUUGGAGAAACUCUUAAAGCGGCUCCUGUCGCAUACCACAACAGCAGCCAGCAGAGCCGCGGCAAUCCCCAACAGCCCAGCGCUGAGCGCCAGAACGGGCAGGUCUACCAGCCGUACCAGUACGGCGAACACAAGAUGUCAGAGCACGGCACUACCGCGCCCCUCGGCCAUUACCAGCAGCUUUCUGGCCAAACGGGAGGGCCGGUGGCAGAAAGAGCCCCGGGCAGCGGCAGUAGCACUCAGACUCUGGAGGACUUUCAAAGGGUGGGCCAGAGGGGUUGGUAUGGCGACACAAACCCGGAGGGGAGCUCUCAACAGCCGAGGGGCUACAACGUGACGGCGCCCGGAGGGGCCGGAGAAAACAACAGGCCAGGACUCCAUCCGUACCAAGCGGAGAAUUUUCAGGGAAUUCAAGAGUUAAGAGAAAAGUUCGCCCCCCAGCACGGCGCCAUCAAUACCCCGGAUUUCUUCCGAGGCACCCUCCCGCCUGUCCCAAAGUUCCCUCCGCCCCCGCGUGUCUUUGAUGCGCCUCUCCCCGCGACCAGCGGUAUGAUGAUGAUGCCGCCUACGCAACAGCACCCGGUGCCGGGCGACAGCAUCAUCAGUGGGAUGGUGGUCCACGACCAUCAGCACAAAUCCAUAUAUCCUCCCGACGAUUCGCUGUACGAUCGCGACCGACCGCACCCUCCCCACCACGAAGAUUUCCCCCCCGCGCCCAGACGAGCUCGGCUACCACGACGAGCUCGGCUACCACGAUGGCGGUUUCUUUCAAGAGGACACGUAUCACCACCACCCAGAGGAUGCAUAUUACGGAGCAGGCAGCCCACCGCACCACUUCCCCAGGCGCCUCACUCCCCCUCGGUCACCCUCAGAGGACCCCUACUACCCCCCUGA
ensembl:lncRNA